rnacentral:rRNA from 1 species
UACGUAGGGGGCAAGCGUUGUCCGGAAUCAUUGGGCGUAAAGCGCGUGUAGGCGGUUCAGUAAGUCUGCUGUGAAAGUCCAGGGCUCAACCCUGGGAUGCCGGUGGAUACUGCUGGACUAGAGUGCGGAAGAGGCGAGUGGAAUUCCCGGUGUAGCGGUGAAAUGCGCAGAUAUCGGGAGGAACACCAAUUGCGAAGGCAGCUCGCUGGGACGUUACUGACGCUGAGACGCGAAAGCGUGGGGAGCAAACGGG